CUUUUGAUAGUUAUUUUAGUGUUAGAUGUCAGUAGAAAUGAAUGUCUAUACUUCUAUUAUAUUUGUGCUUAAAAUGAACAGUAGGUACAACUUAUUUUAAAAGUAAAUGGAUAUAUUUUAUAAUAGUGAAUGGUUAUUCAUAUAUAAUUUUAAUCUACUAUAAUAUACUUCCAUAAAGUAUGAUUAUAAAUAAAAUGGUUAAUCACACAUUAUUAUAGUAAAUUUAUUUUUUGUAAUAAACUGUUGCAGUUUCUAUAACAUUGUGAUCGCAGUUAGAAGUGCGUAAACCUUGACUUUUCGGAAAAAGUUAAUUUUGUCGCAGUUUACAUACAGCUAAAAAGUGCACGGAAAUAAGUGGUGGUGUUGGUCGUCGUUGUCUCCGUCGCGGUAUUCGUCGUCGUCGCCGCCGCCGCAGUCGUUCGCUGCUCGUCGUCCACCCGACCCGCCAACUUCUGCGGGCGGCUCCGCGCGGGAAGUCCCCCGUCGUCUGCCAGAACGAAGCAAUGGAAGUUCGGCGCCCCGUAAACCCUCCCGCCGGUCCACGACCCCGCAAACGCACACAGCUUACGACUCGCCGCCGCCCAAAGUCACCGCCCACCCGACAUCGUCGUCACGGAAACGCGGGCCCAGCCCUCUCUGGACUUCCCAUCGCCGUGACUUUGCCCACGGCCACCGACCCUCCGCUCGCUAUCAUUUUCGCCCGAGUCUGCAGCCGGCGUCCACCGCUACAGCACGUUCGUCGUUACCAGCCACGCGGCGUCUGCCGCCGCCGCCGCUGCAGCCUUUCAUUAAUUUUUAAUUUAAAUUUCUACCUUCUUCUUCUCUACCCCUCCCUCACCUAUCAUCAUCACCUCAUCAGAUCACCACCACCGCAACCACAGCUUAAACUAUAAUGGUCGUCCUCGAAAGCGCUUGUGACGGACUGGAAGCUUCAACCGCGACAGCAACACGUCGAAAACACGGCGUAUAAUAUUGUGGAGAAAAAAAUUCACAAAAUGGAAAGGCUAAAGACAUCAGUGGCGCAGACGUCAUCCGACACCCCCACAUUUCGAGCCUCAGAGCAUGUUACGUGCAGGCCGAUGGUAAAAUCAGUAAAAUAAAGUCGAUCGAAGUCUGUCGCAUGCACAGCCGUCGGAUCCGUCUGGAUCUAUACUCAGCUUUUGCAGUCUGUCUCCGACGUAUCCCACUUAAACCUGGUUUGUUUUUCGUUCCAAACAUUGUUGAGCAACCUAAAUUAUAAAAGAUUUUUAUUCAAGAAUUCGGAAAAAAAAAUAAUUACUUAGCCAUAUACCUAACAUAAUAUAAUCAUUGCCUAUACAUUGGCCGGCACGUGCAUUAUCAUUUCGUUUCAUUUGCACGCUAGUUAAACGGCUGUAAUUUUAGUUUUUGUUUGUUCCCACAACGAUAUAUUAUAUAGUAUUCAACCAAGAAUAACAAAACGAUGAAACAUAUGACUAAUGUUAAGAUUAGCGUAAGUCAAAAAAGGUCGGUCAGGCGUCGUAAUAAAAAAAAGAAAAAAGAAAAAAAGAUGAACAAUUAUUACGCCGGUCGACCUUUUCUUAGUGUUUAAGAUCAAUUUCGAAGACUGAUUUUGUGUUACCUCACUUUAAAUUGUUAAAUUACGAGAUGAGCCACAUAAACGUAGGUUGGUAGGUAUUGUAAAAUAUAACGUUACGUUUAUGCGCGAUAAUGUAGGUAUUGAGUGUAUUAAUACGAUAUUAUUACUAUUAUUAUAAUUAGUAUUGCAACAUUGAUAUUGAUAUCAUUUAUUGUUUUAUACAAAAGCAAUAAAAUCACAAUGUCUUCCAUUAAAUUAAUAUUGUCUUAUUGAUAAUGAUUAUAACUAGAUUAAGUGCAUGCUGUAACGCGCGUUACCCGUUACACUGGUAACGUUAUGUUUACAUGCGCGUGUACAAUGUGUACAUACAAUAUAAUAUAAUAUAAUAUAAUAUAAUAUAAUAUAAUAUAAUAUGUUAACACGAUAUUAUAAUGUUUAGUUAUAAUAAUAAUUUAUCUUUAAGCCUUUUACAUUAUGGGGUGGUUUAAGUAAUUUAUUAUAGUUAUUAUUUUGUAAAAAGAAAAUUAUUAAUGAAUAAUGAUAAAUAUAAAUCGUUUUAUUUGAUAAAUACUGGCCCUUUGAACCGGGAGUGACGUUUGACAAUAAAAAAUACAUUAGGUCCACGUGCCAGAAAUAUUAUUAUUAUUAAUUAUUAUGUUUUAGAUAUAGGUUAGUUAGUUAGUUGUCAUUGUAUUUUUAAUCUUUAUUAUUAUUAUUAUUAUUAAUUAUUAUUGUUACAAUUAUUAAUAUGUAAUGUGUAUUUUAAUUAUUAUUCUAAUUUUUGGGCAUGAACUAUUAUGUAUAGUGAUAAAUAAAAAGACACAUUAAAAUAAAACCACAUCAAUGAUAGGAAAUUUGAUCCAUUUUUAAGUUCUGUUUUGGAAAUUGAGCGUUAGCAAAACUAUACUUGAAAUAUUAUGAUGACAUCAUUAAAUUAUUUACGAAAAUACGUGUAUUAUACUAUUAUAGGCAAUAAGCGAUUGAUUUUAGAUACAUUUAAAACACAUUGAGCCCGGGUGGAAUUCCCGAAAUUCUUCUCACCCAUCCGACUGACACUCUCACAUUUCAAAAUAAUCUUAAAGGGGCUGUGAAUAUAAAUAAUAUAGUAUUCAACAUAAAUACUGAAUUUAAAAUUUUACUCAUUGAUUAAACAUUAAGAUAUAUUGUAAAAAAUAUCGUAUUUCACAUUAUAGCAGCAAAUUAAUUUGCAUAAACAUUAAAAAUGAACUAGUAUAGGACAAAAAACCAAUAUUUUAAAAUACAUUUUAAAAUAAAAUCAACAAAUUCAUCGUGAAAAUUAUUUAAAAAAUUAAAUAAUUUUAAAUUGAACACAAUACAUAUAAAUAAAUCCUAAUGGGUCUGUUCGUGUGUCUUUAAUAAGGGGCAAUACUUAGGCAAUUUGCAAUUUCGUUGCAACCAUCCAUGGCAUUUGUGUUAGUUGUCAAUGAUGAUUAGUGUGAGUGUGAUUGUACACGGGUACUGGGCUAUCUAAGCACUGCAUGUGUACACAUAUUAACGGCACCACCAAUCGAAAAUAAAGAGCAUGAUUUUUUGCCCAAUAUACGCUUUACAGGAAAAGCUCUCAUUUGUCGUAGAGUGGUCUGAUUUGAUAAUUUUUUUUCGUUAGAAAGAGGAUAACUUAUUACGGGACACUUUGGACGUCGAUUUUUAAUUUCUUUGCUUAAAAUAAACACAAUUAAAAUAACAAAAGCUAGUAAAAAUUUAUUAUAUUCAAAAUCGUAUCAUAUGUUUUAGAAAUAGAAAUUUGAAAAUCCAAGUCUAAUGCACCCUGUAAAAAGUGUUUCUCUUUCAAAGAAAAAAAAUUAUCGAAAUCGGAUCAUUCUAAGAAACAUGACAGUUUUUCCUACAAGGCAUGUUUUUGAUCAAAAGAACAGAACACUUGCAGGCCUCUUAAUUAUCUAAUAUCUAAUAUCUAAUAUCUAAUCUAAUCAUAACAGUUUCUUCAGUACACUUCAACAUUAAGAUGUUAUUAAGUAUUUUAAUCAGUGACAUAGUAACAGGGGGAUUUUAGGGAUCACUCCUCCUUCCCCGAAAUUCAGUUCUAAGUAAGCCACUGAUGUCAAUAAGACAACAAUAAUUGAUGAAAUUUACAUAAGCUGGUGAAGAAAAUAAAUGGAAAAUAAAUUUAAAUUUACAGCCCUAAUAAUGAUAUUUUCUAACUAUGUGUGUCGAUCCAAUUCUGCGCCUAUAAUAUUAGGUAAAUUAUUUUAUGAUAUUUGCCACAAGCAAUUUAAAGGUAUAUUUUUUCAUCGAAUAUUCGUAUCGCACAAACACCGUAUCUAUAAGGCAUCCUCGUAAAAGAAAAUCUGGUAUAAGCGAAUUUCAAAAAUUCCCUUACGUUCUUCCCUGGCUUAUAUUUAGGAGCGCCUAGAAACGUUUAAAAUGUUAUAAUGUUAUAAGUACCAUUCUCAGUUAUAUUAUAUAAUUUGGAAAUAAUAAUACAUUAAUACUUAACCGUGCGUAUAUUUUGUAUUACAAAUGUAAAACUAUAUAACAUAGAUGAUAUAGAUAAUUUUAUUAAUAUUAUUGUAAAAACCUAAUAAUAACUUAAACACAUGAUAUUGUUAUGUGCGCGGUAUUAAAAUUCGGAAAUUCGGAAAUUGUAUAUUUGUGGGUUCACAUUAUACCUAAUAUUACAUAAUAUAUUAUUGUAUUGAUAAAUGACUAGUUUUUGUAUUAUGAUGAGUGAUGACUAUAACAAUUGGCAAGUUGAUAGGGCAGUGAAUUGAUUGCCCCGAUAAUAUGUUCAAAAAAUGUUAGAUAAACCCCAACAUAAUAAUGUCUAUUAAAAUUUUUUUAUUUCACCAACAAAUUAAUAAAAAUAUUGUUGAUCAGACAAAAAAUGUUAGAAAUAAAAAGAUUUUAUCAAGAAAGGUACAUAGAUACCAAUAUUUAAAAAUAUUAAGUUAUACAUAAUUUUUAAUUAAAUUCAGUAAUAUUAAAAAACCAUUAAUAAUAACACCUUAAAUAAUAAAUUACCCAACAUGAAUAUUUGUAAAAAAAAUAGACAAUUUUUAAUUUCAAAAUAUUAUUGAAAGAUAUAUAAAUAUGUAAUAAAAUAUAUUAUGUACCUAUACCAGAGGUAUGCUUUAAAUAAUCAAUAUGCAAUAUUUUAUUUGGUAUAGUAAUUUGUAUUUCACUAAUUAUGAUUUUUAAAUAAAAUCAAUAAUUAUAAUAUGUAAAUUCCUAAAAGUCGUAAAAUUCAUAGAUCUGAUCACAGAUUUUCAGCUAAAAAAUAUAUACAUAAUAAUAAUAAACAGGGCUUGGAUUUGUAAGCAAAUGCAUAUUAAUAAGUAUUUUACUUAGAACUACAAUUUUUAAUGCUAAAAUCUUAUAUUUAAAUAUUUCAUAUUUCUGGGAAAAUAUUAGUAUUAACUACAUAUUUAUAAGCAAAUGCAUAUUAAUUGGCUAAUUUAUAAAAAAUUUAAUCAACAUUCAAAUUGUACCUAUUUAUUUUUUUACAAUAAUAUACUGUCAAAAAAUCAUGGAUACUCUGAAUAUUAAUAAAAUAAUAAUUAUUAAGAAAUGUGAGAAAUAAUUUGAAUGUGAUAAAGUUCAAGAACAAAUCUGAAGAAUAUUGGAGUUUUUUCCCGAUUUAAUUAUACAUCUAUAUUGUAUUAUGUAAUGUCGUAUUAAUGUUUUGAUGUACAAGUGUAUGCUAUAAGAUGAUCGUGAUAAUCGUAGAAGUGUUAAAUUUGAAAAUCUUACAUUAAUUUUUGUAUAAUUUCUUGCUGUUGCCUGUUACAUAUUUCAUAACAAUAAAUGAUUCAAAAUAAUAUUAAAUUUUGUCAUUUUAAUAUCUUAAAAUAUAUACUGUAUGAUUUUUUUAAGUAUAUAUUCGUUAUUAAUAAGUAAUAAUAAAAAAAAAAAACAAAAAAUUUUUUUUAAAUUAAUUGAUAAUAAAUAAGUGAUUUUUUGCAUAUAUUUUAUAGAUCUGUAUAAGUGUUUUAUUUUUGCAUAUUAGGUGAUCCAGGCCCUAUAAUAACAAUUAUUAUAAACAAUUGCUUUAUUGUUUUUGUACCUAAAGUUCAAUUUAAAUAACAUGGUUUAAAAUUCUAAAAAAUGUGAACUAGGUUCAAUUAGGUAAUUUGAAUGUAAGUUAUAAUGCAAUGAUAUUAAAUAAAUCGAUAGAAAUGUAUAGGAAUUCUUUAAAUAACAUCAUACAAUACAUUUUUAUUGCAUACGAAUCCCAGUCACACAGUUAUACGUAUGUCUAAAUAUAUUAUAAUAAGUCAAAUUAGCUACAUGUUUCUAAGUGUUGAUUUUUUAAAUUGUUUUAAAACAAGUUUGGAACUUAAUCUAUUUAUUUAUAUAUAAUACCUUCUAAGUUAACAUAUUGUAUCGAUAGUAACUCCUGUUAGGAGAAAUAUAUUGUGCUUAUACUUACAGCCUUAUUUGUUUUUCUUACACGCGAAUCUCUACAGUAAUACAUCAUAUUAUUAUUAUUAUGCUAUGCCUAUUAUAUUAUGUUUUAAUGAAGUAUCGUCAAUCAUUAUGUUAUAACCAUCCAAUACUAUGCAAACAAAUUAUAUUCUACUUGUAGUGUUACACACAGUUAUAAUAUUAUUGAUUAAAUAAACGAAAUGCUAUAGUAUUAUAA